rnacentral:rRNA from 1 species
AGUAAAAGUCGUAACAAGGUUUCCGUAGGUGAACCUGCGGAAGGAUCAUUAACGAGGUUUCAACGGUCAGUGCUGGCGAGGCAACUCGCAUGUGCACGGUCGAAAUCCUUCUAUCAAACCACUGUGCACUUUAAUUAAAACGGAUUCGAAGGGAAGCGCGUUUUGAGGAUUAACCUAGUAGUUGUGGGUCCCGUCAGGUACACGCGACGAAAGGUUAAUCCGUCGACGGACGCGUGGUACUUUUGGAUUCAUUUUAUUACAAACUACACGAAUACAAGUCAUAUUGAAUGUUCAGUCCUAAGGGACGCUAAAUCUAAUACAACUUUCAACAACGGAUCUCUUGGCUCUCGCAUCGAUGAAGAACGCAGCGAAAUGCGAUAAGUAAUGUGAAUUGCAGAAUUCAGUGGAUCAUCGAAUCUUUGAACGCACCUUGCGCCCUUUUUCGGAAGGGCACGCCUGUUUGAGUGUCAUGUUCAUCUCGAUCCCCUUAGUUUUGAUUAACUAUUGGGAUUGGAUUUGGGGGCUGCUGGCUUCGUUCAGAGGUCGGCUCUCCUUGAAUGCAUUAAGUGGCAUCUGGCUCGCGUUGCUGGUGUGAUAGUUUCAUUCAUC